UCUGGUGAGUAUAGGUGAGGGGAAACACACGUUCCCAUCUCGAACACGCUCGUUAAGCCCUCAACCGCCGAUGGUAGUGCCGCCCCGCUGCGGUGCGAGAGUAGGUUAUCGCCAGUA
rnacentral:rRNA from 1 species